AAUUCUCUCUCUCUCUCUCUCUCUGAUAAUGUCUGUCACUGGCCGCAGUCUCCUCUAUCUAGAAUCCCAUCAAGCAAGUAACAACCAGAGCAAGCCAUCAUCAGUAAGUGGGGAAGUGGCAUCAUUCGGCAAAACGUGACCAAGCCACGCCUAAUAGCACGUUUGAUUCCUACUGUUGCUUAUUACGUGAGACCACAAGUAUGUGGACAAGCAUGUCAUAAUCCACAAUCAUUCUUACGUCUGCGGCUUAGCGUACCGACAAGGCGUGGAAGAAAACGAUGGUGAACUGCGCCAUCAUUAUCAUCCUCAUCAUAGGAGACACAGACACACACACACACCGUAAGCUCCCUACAAGACAGUAAACACAAAAAUAUGAGUGAAAAAUGAAACUAGAGGAAUAUUAAUCAACAUUUUAUUAAGCCCCUACAGACCCACCUAUGGCAUACAGCGUCAGUCCAGAGUACAGCCCCAGGGUUGGUCUUGCUAGCCCCGAUGAGGAUGAAAGCAGGAGUCAUCGUCAUUAACCACUGUGGAUGGUGAGGGUGGUAGAGGAGGCAGUGGUGGGUUUAAUAAUAGUGUUACUGAUAAAUCCUGUUGUUUUAUAUUGUAAUUCUACACAGUAAAAAUAUAGAUUUGAAAA